UGAGGUGGAUGGACCUAGAGUCUGUCAUACAGAGUGAAGUAAGUCAGAAAGAGAAAAACAAAUACUGUAUGCUAACACAAUUAUUUUUAAGGUAGGGGAAAUAAUUGCAUGUUUCUUUUCUGAUCGGAAUUAUCUAGUAGAGAAGGAGGCUGGGCCAUGUCUUGAGAAGGUGAGAGGGGACGGAGGGGGGUGGUCUAAGGUAGGAACAGGACGGUUUUUGAAGUAUCACGAGGCAAAGCCAAGCGAGCACAGGGGCCCUGAUGCUGGUGGGGCAGGUGCGGUGGUAGGAGCUCAUGGCAGCUCUUUCCAUCUGCUUCCAUGUUCCUCCCGAAAUAGGAAGCAAGGCCGGGAGAAGAGAGGGAGAGCAGCGGGAGGAGGUGCUGGGAGUUUAAAGAGAGAGAGAAGAUGUGAACGAGUCAUCCAGGAGAGUCAAGAGUGGAGGACAGGAGAAAUGGACGCUGGUGUCCUGGCAGUGACGGAAGCCCAUGCAUCACUGGCGGUCACGGGCUUCCUGAUAUGCACGAAGGCUUGGGAACCACUGCCCUAGAGUAGAAUGGCUGAAGGAGGAAGACAAGCAUCUACAGGACCAGAAGAAUUUAAGAAAUUGAGAGGUCGGGAAAGGAAAAGGAUUCUUUAAGGAGCAUGAAAUUGCUGAAAAUUAAGACAGGGGUACAGAGACUUCCCCGGUGGUCCAGUGGUUAAGAUUCUGCCUUCCAAUGCAAGGGGUGUGGGUUGGAUCCCUGGUCGGGGAGCUAAGAGCCCACAUGCUGUGGGGUACGGCCAAAAUUUUUUUAAAAAAAGGGGGUACACCUGAAGAAAGUGCCCGGACCCAGGAGCUAAAAUCACCAAGAAAUGAGGACAAUGGCCAGGUGGAGAAUAGUCUAGAAGUGGCAGAAAACAGUAAGGAGGACACCUAUCCCAGAGCCCAGUGAUAUAAGGGCUGUGGGAGAUAGCAGCCCCUCUGCGGGGCAUAGCGGGGAGGACAACGGCCCCCCAAAGAUGUCCACUCAUCCCUGGCACUUGUGCGUAUGUUACCUUACACGGCAGCGGGGACUUGGCAGGUGUGAUUACUAAUCUCAAGAUGGAACGAGUAGCCCGGAUUAUCCAGGUGGGCCCAAUGUAAUCACAAGCGUCCCUAUAAGAGGAGGCCGGAGAGUCAGGCGGAGGAGUACGCGGCACGAGGGGGCAGCGGUCGGGGUGAUGCGGUUGCUGGCUUGGAAGAUGGAGGGAGGCCCACCGGCCAGGAAGCGGAUUCUCCCCUCGAGCCUCCGGAAGGGACACGGCCCUGCGGACACCUUGAGUUUAGCCCAGUGAGACCAUUUUGGAUUUCUGACCUCCAGAACCGUAAGAGAGACACCGUGAUGAAAACACAGAUGUUGAACAUGGCUACAGCCUCAGCGUGAUUUCUAAGCCUGACACCUAAGGCUGAAACCAGAAAGAAAGAAAGAAAAGACAGACGCAUAGUGAGCCAUCACUGCGAUGCUGCAGAGGACUCGGGCUGUGGCCUCUGAUGCAGCAAACCCACUUUCACCAACAGACAGACAAUCCGAGAGCCAAGGCCCAGCGGGACAGCAGGAGGCACGUAAGCCAGCAAUACCGAUGCCGGAUGGUUCCUGGCAAGCGCUCACCACGUGCUACCUGAUUCCAAUCAUUGUGCAGAGAAUUAAAUAACAGCAGCAGCAUCUAAACAGCUGAGGCACAGAAAGGUAAAGCGACAUCCUCACUGUCCCACGUGGCCUCUACCCCGAGCCUCCGGCUCCCUGCACAGUUCUGCGCAGGCCCAGGACCCAAAGUCAAUAGAGGGGAUCUACAGCUAAGGCCAGGGGCCCCACUGAGCUCAGUGGGAAAACCACACCCAGCUCUAGCCCAGGUCCAGAGCCUGGUUUCACAUCCAGAAAGUGCGGGGCGAGGGGAUGGUUAACCCCUUCCAAAGUGCACAAGAAGGCCCCUGGGGGUUGCGGGGGGGGCGGUGGUGGAGCUUUGAGUUGAUGAGAUCAAGACUGGAAAUUACCUAAGCACAGGGCACUUCCAGAGGUUGCUGACCCACCUGCCCCCUCUCUCAUUCCCCAAUGCCCUGCCGUUGACGGAGAGCCUUCCUUGACUGGAAACACCAAGCAAAGUGUACAAAACCAAAAGGGAGCUGGCUCAGGGCAGGAGCAGAGCUGCCGAAGGCUGGAACCUGGCGCUGCUGCCUUCUCCCUGGAAGAGGGUGAUGGGGCCACUGGGAGAGCAUGCAGAUCCCCAGAGCCUCAUUGCCACCCCUACUCCCCUCCCCGACCGAGAAUCUCAGCAAGACAAAAUGGCUCAGUUGCUGGCAUAUCAUGCAGUUUCAAAUCACGGCCAACCAAGGAGAUAAAAUAACACUGGCAUCUGUGGCAGAGCACAUCAGAAAAUCAGAAUUUCAUGAUGGAGCUACUCAAAUGGAAUUCUCCCUCAUUUGACCUCUGCUUCCUUCUUACGAGUGAUACAACCUCAGUGGGCAUGCAAAUUCAUAAGACUGUACACUUUCUUCCUGUUUUUCUCUGGUUGGCAAGUUACUAUUUUUAUAGCCCCUGCCCAGUCAGAGCACUGAAGGCGCUUAGAAAGGAGACAGGAGCUAUAUAUUUUACAGGCAUUCAUUUUCUCUUCAAUUUUAAAUAAUCCCUUUUCAAUGGCCAAAUUAGAAGGCCAGAGUCCGUUUUGAGUGCUUGAGGUAGAAAUAUUUUCUGGGAUUAAUUUCUUGCAGGGAGUAAUUCCACCUUUUGCUAGAUGUCGCUAUACUUGCAUCCUUAGGUAAACCAGAAUAGCCUCUCAAAAGGCAUGAGCUCUCUGAACGCUCAUCUUCAAGGCAGAGAACACUCAAUAAUGAGAUCUUUUCUGCAGUUCUUCAGUUGCAGGCCUAGACUCCUACAUGUUGGGCUCCAAUAGGGCUGGUUUGAUUGGGACUGGAUGGCGUUCGUCACGGGCUGCUGCCGCCCAGGACAAAAUAACCACCUCCUCAGUAGUGGCUCUGAACACAGUCUGGACCAUGCAUUUCAGGCCAUCUCUUGAAGCAAAAAGGCCCACUGGCAAAGCCAGGUGCCCGUGGCCCGAAGGCAGCUCCCUCAUCACACUUGCCUGUCUCUACUCCACACUGGCUGGUUCUAAACCCAAGAGCAGAGGCUUGUCUGACCACUCCCUCAGGGCCUUAAAAAAAAAAAGCCUCUAUCCUGACAGUGGCCAAAUAAUUAAUGUUUUCAGCCUGGACCUCACCCCUGAACUUCAGACUUAGAUAUCGAACUACCGGCCGGGCAUCUCACACUUAACACGGUCCAAACCCAUCUCCUGAUGGCCACAAUCAUCGCCGUCCUGCCCCCUGCUCCACUCGUCCCAUCAUAGGAAACAGACACUCCCCAUUUCCGGUGGUUCAGGUCAAUCUUGGUCACAGCCCACAUCCCCUCCAUAUGCAAAUGCUUCUGGAUUUACCCUCAAAAUAACAUCCAGAGCCUCUGUCACCUCACUGCACUGGAAAAAAUAGUUCCAAGGCGCUAAAAUAGUCAAGAUGUUUGCACUGUAUCCCUCUGUACGCAUUCAGAUAGCACUUGGGGGGGACCAGGUGCCAUGGACGUGUCCAAGGUCACACCCUUGGAACGGCACCUUUGAAUCGAGGCCGAACCCCAGGCACCCGGCUUUUAAUAGUAGGGGCCGUUCCCUGGGAAGCCCAUGCCUGCUCCCUUGUCAAGAGUUCAGAGAAUUUAUAAAGCCUCAAACUGACAGGUUUGUCUGCAGACUUCUGAGGUGCAGUUUCCUGUUUAGUCAUGAAGCAGACACUUUAAUCGUCUAUUUCCUGGUGGGAGGCAGGUACCAGGAGCCCGAGGAAGGGCCUGUUUUAAAUUCAACUAAGACCUUUACCCCACCCCGAGCCGCCCUGCUCUGUAGGGGGCUGUUCACGUGCCCUAUUUAAUCCUCACAGCCAUCUCUGGGGGUUGGGGCUACGAUGCCCAUUUCUCAGGUCAAGUUACUGAGGCAGAGAAAGAUGGAGUGAUCCUUCCAGGAACGGCCCCAGCUCGGUGGGUGCUAGUCCCAGGUCAGGGCUUCCACAUGUGUAAGGUCAUCAAGCUCCCCUGGGGGCUGAGUUAAGAUGCAGUUUUGCCUCAGAAGGGCUCGACACAAAAGCGCUGUCGAUACACCCGUGUAAGUCCCACGACCUCUCUCUGAGCCUCAGUUUUCCCACAAAACGGAUCAGAAUACCUCCUGGAGAGACUGCUGUCAGGAUUGAAGGAGAUGAUGUAGCUGGCUUAUUCAUAGACAGAUGUUUACUAACUCUGCAAUACGGACCCAUAGAGAAGAUGGAAGAAUGAGAGAGAAGAUGUGGAAGGAGACAGACCAGUCCAAUCCAAUCCUCUUCCACUAACCAAGAAUACAAUGCUAUUUCCCUACAUGUUUAAAGAAGUCGUCUGUUCCGUUGAUCAGCUGUUAGUAACAUGGAGGUAGACAUCGAGGGAGAAGGCAGCAUCUCGACUUAGGAUAUGUUACCUAGGUGACACCUAGAAACACGCCCAAAGACAGGGAGAGAGGCCUCUGGUCCCAGAAUCACUGCCCCAUUGUGGUCUUUUAUGAGACUACCACUGAAGACCUAUAUAGUGAUGGUACAUUUUUACAAUCCUCGCAUAAAUCAGUGAAUUGUCCUGCUAGUCUGAUGGGUUAGGUGAUGAUUUAGGAUAUGGAUUGGAAAUGGUUCACUGAUUAAUCAACACGAAUAAUUAACACGAAAGUGCAAGGUGUCAACAGAUAAAAUACGAAAAUACUCAAUUUGUCACCCUGACAAAUUCUACAACUAGCUUCCACCCUCCUGAGAGCACAGGCACAUCUCUAAAUGGACGGCAUCAGAGGAGAAAACCUGUGGGCAUCUGCAUCGUAGGGGUUAGACUGCUCUAGGGUACGUUCAGUUUAAUGGUUCUUUAAUGAAAACACCAGGGUCCCUCCCAACCUGUGUAGAACGCGCUACCAUCUUCUCCAUCCUCCGCUUUUUCCAUGAUUACGCGUCAACUUACAAGCUAGGGAGAAACAACUCAGACAUUCUCUAAGCUAAGCUGCCCUGCGAGGGAGGACGAGACAACUGUAUGAACUCAGACCUGAGUUGAGCUGAGCUGCUCUGCCCGGUCCUUUUCUCCGAUUCAGCAGAAUUUCUUCCGACUACAUGCAGCUAAGAGGCACCUCUCCUAUCAAGCAACCACAUGGCUUCUAAGGCAGCAACCACAGGCAGGAAAGCAUUCUAAACAAACCACGGCUUGCCCCCUGGUCCUCCUGAAGCUUCCUCACAGCCUCGGCCCCAAAGCUCUGCUGAGAGGCGGCAGCCACAAAGCAAGCACUGCAACAUGGGCUGCUGCCUUUCAGAACUAAAACAGAAGCAAAAAGAAAAGCACUUGUUACUACGGCCAGUUGAGAUUCGGGAAAGAAACAGUGACCCAAACCCACAGUUCAGCUCAGCCUGCAACCACAAAUGAGAUGAGAAAAUAAAUACCUAAUUGUUUGGGAAGCCAUCUUUCUCUUUGGAGGUUGGCGGAAUUAACCAGACAUUUUUGUGAAGACAUUUGCGUUUCCUUAGCCUUGCGUAUGCGGCAGAGAGAACUGAAGGCGGGUCAGACACGCCAGGUGGGUUAAGGGGGGGGGGAGCGUGGAGCAGGAAGAAACAUCUCCAUCCUGAGCUACUUUCCUCAUGUCGCAGAAUCUCACAGAAGUUCCCCGAGGCCUUUGAGAAGAGGUCCAAAACCCCAGGCCUGCCUCAAGUGAACUUUCCUUCGAAAACCAGCACAGCCCCUGCUGCUUGCAACAGAUUCGUGGGAUAUUUAUGGAAUCUUCUAGCCUAGUCUGCACCUUAUCCUUCCAUAAAUUCACCUUCCAGAUCAUUCUAUGUCCUCCCAUGUGUCACGACCAGCUCACAGCACGGCACCACCACCCCCCUCCCCACAAUCAAGAAGGGUACCCGUACAUACAUCCACGUUUCCAAAGCCCGACAUAAGCCCACGUGCCGUAAGGAGGCAGCCUGACCCACUUCACGCUGCCAUCAGUCUUACGCAUUUUGUCCUGUCUCCCUCUCAA